GACGGACGCUGGCGGCGUGCUUAACACAUGCAAGUCGAACGGAAAGGCCCUGCUUUUGUGGGGUGCUCGAGUGGCGAACGGGUGAGUAACACGUGAGUAACCUGCCCUUGACUUUGGGAUAACUUCAGGAAACUGGGGCUAAUACCGGAUAGGAGCUCCUGCUGCAUGGUGGGGGUUGGAAAGUUUCGGCGGUUAGGGAUGGACUCGCGGCUUAUCAGCUUGUUGGUGGGGUAGUGGCUUACCAAGGCUUUGACGGGUAGCCGGCCUGAGAGGGUGACCGGCCACAUUGGGACUGAGAUACGGCCCAGACUCCUACGGGAGGCAGCAGUGGGGAAUAUUGCACAAUGGGCGGAAGCCUGAUGCAGCAACGCCGCGUGCGGGAUGACGGCCUUCGGGUUGUAAACCGCUUUCGCCUGUGACGAAGCGUGAGUGACGGUAAUGGGUAAAGAAGCACCGGCUAACUACGUG
rnacentral:rRNA from 1 species